CUCUCAACCCUUGUUCGCUCAGGGCCUUUGUGCAGACUCAGACCCAGGAACUCGGCAAACCAACCCCCUGCCCCCAGCGCUCUUCCCCCUGAAAGACUGACACGGCACAGCUUUUCCGUAACAACCACACACACUUCCUCCUGGGACGCCGGGCUGCAGUCACUGGAGCAGACCCACCAGCGAAAGCGGGGAAAGUCAGAGGUCAGAGACACAGACCCUGAAAGGCCCAGAGUUCCCAGCUGGCCAUUGGGACCUUCAGCGGAUCACAGCUCUGAACCUCAGUUUCCCCAACCGUAAAAUGAACACUAAACUAAAAGAUAUGAGACCACCUCCAGGCUCCACAUUCAACGGUUUUAGGCAACUACCCAACAAAAGUAAAACAUUAUAGCUGAGGUAUGACUCACUCUCAGUGCUCCAAAAGUUGCUCAGGUUUAGGUUUAGAGACCCUUGAUUACUUGGUCCCCACCCUAUUUCUCACACUCCCAUCCUGCAAAAACUAGUCACAAUGUGAAGAAAGCUUUGCUUCCUCUCCUCACUCCAGUACACCCCCUCAGCGAGCACGAUGCUAUUAUGAGUGCAGGCAAACGGAGCAGCAUGGUCUUCCUCUUGAGGACAUGACUGAGAAAACAGUGAGAGCUAGCUGGAAAAGCGAGGCUGCUUUUGUAUUUCUCGUCUUUUUCACUGAGCACACAGACACAUGGUGGACACUCUGCGGCCAGAGAUGAGACAUUACAACAUCAGUCUCUUUGCAUUUUCAGCUCUUGCAAAGUUCCCACUGAAACACCAGAAUGAUUCCCAGAAACUGGCACAAAGACGGGGUCAAUGGUGACAGCCCAUCAAAUGCUGCUUACCUCUGAUUUGUCUGCUUAAUCCCCUCCUCAGUAAAACCCGGACCAAAAGCAACAAGACCCAUCUGCCCGAAGCUGGGUCCCGGCAGAUGAGGGGCAGCCCCCUCCACUCCUCCCGCACAUGCCCUCCCGGCUUAGCGUGCUUGCUUUUGUCAACUCCCUGAUUCUCUGGGAAAAGAUUAUCUCUCCCCAAAGCCAUUAAGCUUCUAAUGAGGAUAAAUAGUGGUAAAAGUUCCUGCCCAUGAAAAACAGCCCUCCAUUGUCAGACAUUCCCUCUUAAUUGAUCUUAAUAAGCUAUUUUAAAUGAAGGGGAAGGAAAAACCAUAGCACUAACACAUGGUAAUUAUCUGCAAUUCUCCACUUGCAGUGUCGCUGAAUAGAGGAAAUAAUGCAAAUGUGGACAGAUGCUGAUGAGAGCUUUACAAUGACAUUGAAAUUAGGGUUAUUUUGUACAGUAAGUAACAUGACUAAGUUGCAGUAUUUCAAAGGCGGUACACACCACCGAUUGCUGGGAGCUGUAAGAAGAUGAAAUUUCCACCAGGCAUGACCCAUGGGAGUAGGAAGGGGUAGAGAGGUUUCACACUGUGUCCUCAAAGCUGAUCAGUGUGGCAGGUACUCGUUUAGUUGCUAAUAUUUAAUGUAAAAUUCAGAGAUUCUACACCAGCUUUAAAGGGAGAAGAGAAAUAGACUCCCCAGCCUCCCAGAUAGGGGUUCUUUGUAACUUAAAAUAACUAUAAUCCUAGCAUUUUUAGAGGUCAUUUAAAAUCAAACAUCCUUAUUUUACAGAUGAGGAGAAAAAAAAAAAAACAACCCAGAGGUGUCAUAGUUGUUAGCAAAACCCACAGCCCUCCGCUGAGGGUCCUGGAAGGAUCACUACUCUUUAUCUUACUGAUAAUUUCAUUUUGCCUCCAGUAAUCAGCAUUGCUCUUUGUCAUUUUUGACAUCAAUACAUGACCCUUCAGAAUUUACUGUGUGCUAAAUGCUAAGGUUACUAUAAUAAGACACACCUUACAUAGAAGAAUAAUGAAAGGUCUCAGCAAUCAUACAAAUGAUCACAUUUUUAAAAUUUCAUGAAUCUUUAGUACAGAAAUGCAAGAGAUCUUGUGGGAGUUUGCACGCAUGUGUGAGAGAGUGGGUGUGCACUCUGAGCCUGAGCAGCCCCCAAUGCAUCAACAAAACAGGAUGAUGUUGAGUCUGGAGUUGAAGACGGACUAGGAAAAAAGAUGGGCGCCCAGGGUACCAAUGGACAACAAAAAAGGGGGAAAUGACCACAACGUGGGUAAGCAGGGACCAAAGUGCCAGCCUAGAAGACCACUUCAGCCCUCGGUCAAGGCUCCCAGCCCCGCCUGGAGCAACAGCCUGGGGGGAAGAUCCCAAUGACCUUUGUGUGCGGCACCCUGGAAAGCUCAUAUUGGGUUUGCAAUGUUGGGUUAACAAUUAGCAGCACUAGGAGCCACUUGCUUUUGCUUUAACAGACGAUGAAGCAACUAAAACUAGAAAAGAGUGAAGAAUUCCAUUGAAAUCCCACUAUGGACUGACCUGAGGCAACGCGGCACUUCAGGAAAUAUCUGACAGAAGCACAAGGAGCUUCCAGCACUCGGAGGU